rnacentral:rRNA from 1 species
UACAGAGGGUGCGAGCGUUGUCCGGAGUCACUGGGCGUAAAGGGCGCGUAGGUGGCGACCCAAGUCCGUGGUGAAAGCUCGUCGCUUAACGACGAGUCGGCCACGGAGACUGGGUGGCUCGAGCACUGUAGGGGCAGAUGGAAUUCCGGGUGUAGCGGUGGAAUGCGUAGAGAUCCGGAAGAACACCAGUGGCGAAGGCGGUCUGCUGGGCAGUUGCUGACACUGAGGCGCGACAGCGUGGGGAGCAAACAGG